GAGAAUAGAAAAAGACAAUUAUAAAAAUAAAUUGAUUUUUUGCUUUUCAAAAAAUAUAAUUUUGUUCUUUUUAAAUAUUGUUUUCAUUGACUUAUCAAAUAAUGUUUUUUCCUUCAUUAUAUAAUUAAGAAAAAAGAAAGCUGAUAAAAAACAGUCCUGGUGAAUCUGUAAGAGUUUCAUUUUUGAAUCCAAAAGUUUUAUAUGUUGCUUUUCCAUUAAUAUGUUAGUAUUUUUUUAUUUUUUUUUUAUACAAUUGGAAGGUUGCCUCAAAUGGUAAUCUUGUCUGCUAUUGUUGAAUAAUCCAUGAAUAAAUCUAUGAUUUUUAAUGAUGCAGGCUGUCGUCAUGAAUUCUGCAC
rnacentral:misc_RNA from 1 species